AGGAGCGAGGUGAGAGGCUUGUUAACACGUGGAUUGCCUUCAGUGCCGUGGACAAAUUUGAGGAGGAUUGCGAGAUGCUGGAACAUUUGUUGAUUGCGAGUUGUCUUCCAGGGAAUUAUGCAUGUGGAGGAGAAGCAACCGCUGUGGAAUUUCCGUUUUUCUUUGGUAUCUGAGAAGAAAGCUCUUACAAAGUUUGUCCGUUCAGUGCAAUCAUCCAUAUUCAAGAGUGCCUUGAAAUCCACCGCGUCUUACAUUUAAGACGGCAAAUGGGGGAGCAUCCAAGAUAAUUUUCAGAAAGGGAGAUGACCUCCGACAAGGUCAGCUGGGUGACCUCUGCUGCGAUUUCCUGUGUUCAUUCGGAGGAGACGGCUGAUUAAUAGCUAUUCUUCUGGUCACUUAAAACUGAUGUAACUCAGUUUCUUGUAUGUACCCGCGAGGGCCAUCAUGGGCUCCACCUGCGCCCUAUUGCCGGCCUUCCGAUGUGGCGCCCCGACCUCCCUAUAGAGGACCAGAAGCUUGCAGUAGCAGGAGCAGCAGCAUCUCGGACCCUCCCCUCCUUCCUUCCCCUUCCUGUCAAGUUUUUGUGUGAAAAGCAAUCUUGAUCAAAAAUAAAUCUGCUUAUUUAAUGGGCUGCCACUUCACAUUGAUUCAA